ensembl:lncRNA
AUUGCAGAGCUACCUUCUGAUUUCUUCUCCACACUCCAUAGAUACUGAAGAGUCAAGAUUAAUGGUGCUCUAACCUUCUCAAAGCACCCAAGUUCUGGCAGCGCUCCACUCAACCCCACCCCUCCUGCUGAUAUCCUUCUGGCAGAAGCAAGGGGUGGCCGAGAGCCUUCAAAACAGUUCCCCACAACUUUUUCACAGCUUCUAUUACCUCUUCUGAAUGCAUCUGGAAAGGUACAGAUGAAGAGAGAAUACCUCCACAAGUCUACUGGAUCUAGAUGGCAUAAUUACAGAAGAGUAACAGGAUGAGUCCCAGACCUGAACAACUGGUAAAUAUUUCAGAUACCAAUAUCAACUUCUUAGCCAGGCAACAGGAAAAGGAGCAAAAUAGGAUUUCUCAAGCAACCAGAUGUUCCACAAAGCACUGAGAGAACUGUCUGCCCUGUUAUGGAAGAACUAUUACAUAUUUGACUUAGACACACCACUUUCCUUGUGCGAGAUGCUUCAAGGAGCUCUGAGCCAGCCCAGCUACCUUGGCUUCUAGGGAGAAAAACUGGACUUUGUUUUGUCCGUUAGCACUUGGACAGACACACUUAAACAUCUUGCCAACUUUUG